rnacentral:sRNA from 1 species
GUUUUUGACAUCUCUAU